UACGGAGGGUGCAAGCGUUGUCCGGAAUUAUUGGGCGUAAAGAGCUCGUAGGCGGUCUGUUGCGUCGGCUGUGAAAACCCGGGGCUCAACUCCGGGCCUGCAGCCGAUACGGGCAGACUAGAGUUCGGCAGGGGAGACUGGAAUUCCUGGUGUAGCGGUGAAAUGCGCAGAUAUCAGGAGAAACACCGGUGGCGAAGGCGGGUCUCUGGGCCGAUACUGACGCUGAGGAGCGAAAGCGUGGGGAGCGAACAGG
rnacentral:rRNA from 1 species